CUGGGUGCACUGAGGGGUGCUCGGGGUCCAACGGCCGCCUCUCGUAGCUGGAUUCGUUGUCCUGCUUGCUGUGCUCGUAGGGUUGGUAGCCCUGCGGCUCACCCGGGUGGCUGUUGUUGUCGAGGCCAUAGUGUCCGUCCGAGGCCGCGUCCCCGCCGGGCCCCCGCCGGGCCUCCUCCGCCUCCAGCGCCGCCUGCAGCCGCUCGGCCAAUUCGGCCUUCAGCCCUCGGGUAUCCAACCCGCGCCGCCCCAACUCCUCCUUCAGUUCGUUCACCCUCAGCCGCCGCACGUCCAUCGCCGCCGCCGCCCGGCGCCCAUCGAGGGCCGCUGAG
rnacentral:lncRNA from 1 species